UGUCUUGUAAUUGGAAUGAUGGGAAUUUAAACCUCUUCCAGAGUAUCAAUUGGAGGGCAAGUCUGGUGCCAGCAGCCGCGGUAAUUCCAGCUCCAAUAGCGUAUAUUAAAAUUGUUGCAGUUAAAAAGCUCGUAGUUGAAUUUCUGCUGCAUUGCUUUUGCUCCUUUACGAGUCUUUGCAUUGUGGCUUAUUUCGGACUUUGUUUUACAAUGUCCGGAUGUUUACUUUGAGAAAAUUAGAGUGCUCAAAGCAGGCUUUCGCCUUGAAUAGUUUAGCAUGGAAUAAUAAAGUAGGACUUUGGUUCUAUUUUGUUGGUUUUAGGUACCAAAGUAAUGGUUAAUAGGAACAGUUGGGGGCAUUCGUAUUUAACUGUCAGAGGUGAAAUUCUUAGAUUUGUUAAAGACGAACUACUGCGAAAGCAUUUGCCAAGGAUGUUUUCAUUAAUCAAGAACGAAAGUUAGGGGAUCGAAGACGAUCAGAUACCGUCGUAGUCCUACC
rnacentral:rRNA from 1 species